GUUCUCCAUUACCCUGCACUCGCCUUACUCAUGUUGCAGUCUGAGGCACGCAGUUCCAGUUUGUUUUUAACCAUAUCUGUUUUUGGAUGCAUUUGAUUGCUUUUUUCCCACCUGUUUGUGUCAUAUCUCCCUCACCAGCCUUUUCCUGCAUUACUUUCAACAAAAGAUGUUGCAGUAAAGAGCCCAAAGAUCUGGUGCUGUCCCCCGCUUCUUAUUCACACGCCAUUGCACAACGUGUCGACAGGUGUAACACACACAAACGGGUUACAUAUGCAUUUGAGGAGAAGCUGAUUACAAAGAUCUAGUCUGGUUAAAUAUUACAGUUGAUCUUUCAGUUUCAUUUCUUGGUCAUGGAUGAUUUUGUAAGAAACAAACUGAUUGAAUGGCAGCUAAGUGAGUUGGAGGAACGAUUUGAAGAUAACAAAAUUACAGAGGAAAGCCUUUUCUGUCUUACUGAAAAUGACAUCACUGAGCUAAUCCGUUUAGUUGGUCCAAGGGCAAGAUUCAGAUGCAGACUUGAGCAGUUAAAGGUAAGUCUGGUCAAUAUUUUUACAUUUGGUCUUAAAAAUCUCACAUAUAUAAAUAUGGAGGAGCAGGAGAGUCACAUGCAUCAAAACUAUUUUGUGGUUUAAUAAUAAAUUGUGCAACAAAACAAACAUUAGUAAAUUUAUUUCCAAAGUUAUGUUUUAUCUUUCUUUUAGGCCCAAAAUGUGUCAUUGGAUACUAUCUGUAAUAAAUGGGAAUUUCUGCAAUAUAAAAACAACCCAUUUUCAAUAUAGUUAAAUUAAAAAUGUUUAAAGAAAAAAACAAAGAAAGCUUUAUUGUUACAAGAAAUUAGUAAAUUCUGUGACAAAAUUGUAUAAAAU
rnacentral:lncRNA from 1 species